GAAAGCGUGNGGAGCGAACAGGAUUAGAUACCCUGGUAGUNCACGCCGUAAACGAUGAGUGCUAGGUGUUAGGCCCUUUCCGGGGCUUAGUGCCGCAGCUAACGCAUUAAGCACUCCGCCUGGGGAGUACGACCGCAAGGUUGAAACUCAAAGGAAUUGACGGGGGCCCGCACAAGCGGUGGAGCAUGUGGUUUAAUUCGAAGCAACGCGAAGAACCUUACCAGGUCUUGACAUCCCGAUGCCCGCUCUAGAGAUAGAGUUUUACUUCGGUACAUCGGUGACAGGUGGUGCAUGGUUGUCGUCAGCUCGUGUCGUGAGAUGUUGGGUUAAGUCCCGCAACGAGCGCAACCCUUAUUGUUAGUUGCCAUCAUUCAGUUGGGCACUCUAGCGAGACUGCCGGUAAUAAACCGGAGGAAGGUGGGGAUGACGUCAAAUCAUCAUGCCCCUUAUGACCUGGGCUACACACGUGCUACAAUGGCUGGUACAACGAGUCGCAAGUCGGUGACGGCAAGCUAAUCUCUUAAAGCCAGUCUCAGUUCGGAUUGUAGGCUGCAACUCGCCUACAUGAAGUCGGAAUCGCUAGUAAUCGCGGAUCAGCACGCCGCGGUGAAUACGUUCCCGGGCCUUGUACACACCGCCCGUCACACCACGAGAGUUUGUAACACCCGAAGUCGGUGAGGUAACCUUUUAGGAGCCAGCCGCCUAAGGUNGGAUAGAUGA
rnacentral:rRNA from 1 species